UUAGCUCAGUUGGUAGAGCGUUCGGCUUUUA
rnacentral:tRNA from 1 species